rnacentral:rRNA from 1 species
GUCUACGCCAUACCACCCUGAACGCGCCCGAUCUCGUCUGAUCUCGGAAGCUAAGCAGGGUCGGGCCCGGUUAGUACUUGGAUGGGAGACCGCCUGGGAAUACCGGGUGCUGUAGGCU